AAAAUUUAUUUGUGUUCAAAAAUACAGGUUAAAAAAAAAAGGAGUGGAAGGCAUAAAUAGUUAUGCAGAAUUGAGGUCUACCAUUGUUGGAUUUCUGGAUUGUCUGGAAGACUCCUCCAAGACAGCUGACUGGGAAGACUGAGACACAGGCAUCACUACCAGGACAUUUCAUUCUGGAACAGUUCAGAAACAGCCUCCCACACAAUAAAGCACAGGAGGACUGUAAACAAGGUUUGCCUUUUGAUGCUUGAAUUUGUUUCUACCCUUAAGCCCAACUUCUGAAGGUAGAAAGAAACUGGAUCAUGCAGAACACCUGAAAUUGUAGUAAAACAGGUUUGCUGACCAUGCCUGUGUUCUGCUGGGUUGUCAUAUGGAUUGAUGCUUCUGCUAAGGACACCAAGCUUCCUUCCUUGGUGAAGAUCUUAAUUUUUGUCUUUUAUUUACAACUCUUCUUUUUGUGCAGUUAGAGACUCAGGAGCUUUCACUGCUGGAAGAUACUACUCCUAAAGAGACUUUGAUCAUGCAGCCUAAUGAGUGUCACUCACUUUGAGCCAACAAUGAACACUACAAGACCAGACCCAGAAUAUAGUGCAAAGUAGACAAACAAACCUGCCCUGAGUCUGACAAGAAGGGAUGUUAAAUUUCUUGUACCUGGGUUUUUGUUAUGUUGCCACAUCAUCCAUCCUAAUUUGCAUUGCCAUGGGGAGGAGGAGUGCUCCUGGCCUCUCCUCUCAUGCGUUUCUCUUCCUGAGGAUCAGCAUGUGGGCAGGGGAGGGAGGAGGAAAAUCCCUGCAGGUAGUUUUGCAUUCAGGCUGUGUGAUGCCAGCCUAAGAGGGGCACCAGGGACAAGCAGAGAUGAGACAGCAGAUUUCGAUGGCAGUAUGGAUUUGUGUUGGACUAAAUUGACUGCAUAACUGUGACCUCAGAGGGAUCCUCCAGAGCAUGUACCCAGUGCAGCAACUGGUUGUUAGCACAGGGGACAUGGCCCAGGAGGACAGGCUGCCACUGGAGCUUUGUACCCCAGCAAUCUCUAUUUAAUGAAAAUCUUCACACAUCACUGGCAGGGAGUAUGAAUCAGCACAGCCUUUGGAUUGCUGUCAUUUGGAAGGCUCAGACUGAUACAUUUUAUCCCACAACACUGUUUAGAAGCAAUAUGUAGAGUUUUAAAAGUAAAGGUCUUUGAAAUUAAGCAAGUAAACAAAUUACUAAUAGCAAACAGGAGUUUUGGGAGUGGGUGGGUGCAAAUGGAUAUGAAAGCUGAGUGACAAGGAAGACAACCAAACACAAAUACAUCAAACUGCAUCUACCAGUUGCUUUUGUUUCAGUGGAGUGGUCUCUGAGGCAGUUUCCCUGAACAGCUGCACUUUCUCUAUUCCAAUUGGAAAAGGAAAACAUCAGAAAGUUUCACAAGUCAAGGGGAAAAACAAGCAGGAACAGACAGGAAAUAUGCUGUUAAAUGUAAGAUCUGACACUGCAAGACCUCGGACUACUUUGCUCAGGGAGAACAGGUAGCCUGUUCAGACAGCAAGAAGCACCAAGUCUUGGGAAAGGAAGAAAAAAACAAACAAGAAAAAGUCUCUUUUGGAUCAUGAUAACCAGGUCAUCUUAUGGCAAAUCUAACAAAUUGCAGACUUUGGCUCAGCAAGCUCAUGUCAUAUGUACACAAGGUAUGAUAAUGGAGUAGUCAGCACAGUGCUGCACUUCCAAAAUCUUGUAGAUGGGUUAUAACAUUAAAACUGGGCAAUAGAGUAUAUUACUCUAGCAACUCCUUCUCUGAGCUCUUCUUAUCAAGCCUUGCUUCUACUCACACAUCAACUACACCAAGCAGAUGUCUUCUCAUGCAGCUGAGGAAGCAGUGCUGAAUUCCAGACAGAGCAGACUGAAAGUCAGUUUUAAGGGUUUCAUCUAAAACACCAACAUCAAGAACAGGAUUUGUUUCACUGGGAGAUGUACUUUCCAUAUUUUUUUGUCCUUGUUGUCAGUCAUGUGAUUGCAUGACUAGUUGAGGAAUCAGACAACUCCAAUGGAAAAGAGAAAUUAGGUCAUCUGGUCCACCCUUGCUGCCAGGACAUGACUGUUCCCUGCAGUGAUCACUUCCCACACAGUUAUCUUUCCAACAGUCUUUUUGAGGAUGGAAAUGCAAUUCAGAGUCCCGUUUGGCUAUGGCUUCCAGAGCUUUUGAGGACUUUUUAUUUCGCCAAGAAUGCUUAAUGAGAGAAUCAGAUCUAACAAUUUUAAAUUCAUUUCAAAGAAAAGAAAUCAAAAUCUCAGUAUUUCAUUCUCAAUAAAAACUUUUUAAUAGAAAAAUGAUGCAGUAUUUGGGAUAAUUUGGGACAAUGUUUUUAU